rnacentral:rRNA from 1 species
AUUGAACGCUGGCGGCAGGCCUAACACAUGCAAGUCGAGCGAGCGGCGGACGGGUGAGUAAUGUAUGGGGACUGCCCGAUAGAGGGGGAUAACUACUGGAAACGGUAGCUAAUACCGCAUACUAUCGGAUAACCCAUAUGGGAUUAGCUAGUAGGUGAGGUAAUGGCUCACCUAGGCGACGAUCCCUAGCUGAUCUGAGAGGAUGAUAAGAGACACUGGGACGGAGACACGGCCCAGACACAGAGGGAGGCAGCAGGGGGGAAUAUUGGACAGAGGGAGACAGCCUGAGGCAGCCAAGCAGCGUGUAUGAAGAAGGACGUAGGGUUGUAAAGUACUUCCAGUCGGGAAGCGUUACCGGCAGAAGAAGCUCCGGCUAACUCAGUGCCAGCAGCCGCGGUAAUAC